UUCAAGUGUAUAACUAAAAUAGAUCACCAAUAAUCCAGAUGACUUUCUUAUGUAAACAUGAUAAAUGAGUACUUUAGAACUAUUGUCUAAAUGAUCUGUGGUCAUGGUGAAAAUAAAUUGAUUAAUUUAUCAUUGUCACACUUGAUUAGUUUUUAUCAAAUAAACAAGCACAACUCAUUAAAACCACAAUAAAUUUGUCAAGCCAUACUUAAAGAGUAUGUUGAUUAGUACACUUUUAAUUAUAAUAAGACUAAUGAAGUGUAACCAUAAACGAGAGCAUAUACAGAUCUCAGAAAACAUGGUAUAAUCUCUGUAUUGUACAGGAAUGUACACAUUUUCGUUUUGUAUAUACUAUAUACACACAAAAAUAAUAUACAUGUAUACAUGAUAAAAUAUUAAAAUACGAAUAAAAUAAAAACCUUAAUUGUUAUUAAAUAUUACACUCUAGGAAACAAUAACUCAUGAAAUA